UCCAGCUCAAGCCUGUAGUCAUCAGUGAGAGGGUCCUGGGCUUUGACCACUCCAACACUACCAACAAUACUCAGCAUCUGUUGGCCCAAUGGAUGUGCGGAGUGGGAGACCAUCAUUCUGCCAUGAACCAUGAAAUAGAGGCUCUGUCUGCUUUCACCAGCCUGCAGGCAGUGCAUGUGGAGCGCUCUAUAAGGAAAGGCGGGGACCCGCUCACAGCUGAGUCUCUUUCUCCCUCAGCUGAGACCACUCUGGAGCAGCUGGCCCUGGUCACAGGCAUUAGGACACCAAGCCACAG